AGUGAACGCUGGCGGCGUGCCUAAUACAUGCAAGUCGAACGGAGUGGCGCACGGGUGUGUAAUGUAUAUCUAAUCUUCCCUACAUUAGAGGACAACACUUGGAAACGGUUGCUAAUACUCUCUAGUGUAGGAUGUGGUUAUAUUGUAUCAGCUAGUUGGUGAGGUAAUGGCUCACCCAGGCUAUGACGCAUAACUGGUCUGAGAGGAUGAUCAGUCACACUGGAACUGAGACACGGUCCAGACUCCUACGAGAGGCAGCAGUAGGGAAUAUUGCUCAAUGGGGGGAACCCUGAAGCAGCAGCGCCGCGUGGAGAAUGACACUUUUCGGGGCGUAAACUCCUUUUGUUAGGGAAGCGGUACCUAACGAAUAAGCACCGGCUAACUCCGUGCCAGCAGCCGCGGUAAUUC
rnacentral:rRNA from 1 species